UACAGAGGUCUCAAGCGUUGUUCGGAUUCAUUGGGCGUAAAGGGUGUGUAGGCGGUUUGUCGCGUCGGGAGUGAAAUCCACUGGCUUAACUGGUGGCUUGCUUUCGAUACGGGCAGACUGGAGGUAUGCAGGGGAGAACGGAAUUCCUGGUGUAGCGGUGAAAUGCGCAGAUAUCAGGAGGAACACCGGUGGCGAAGGCGGUUCUCUGGGCAUGUCCUGACGCUGAGGAGCGAAAGUGUGGGGAGCGAACAGG
rnacentral:rRNA from 1 species